rnacentral:lncRNA from 1 species
UAUUUAUGUGAAUAUAUUGUAGCUGUCUUCAGAUACAUCAGGAGAGGGCAUUAGAUCCGAUUAUAGAUGCUGUGAGCCAUCAUGUGGUUGCUGGGAAUUGAACUCAGGACAGCAGUCAGUGCUCUGAACCACUGAGCCUUCUCUCUAGUCCUUUUAUUUUUUAUUCAUUCACUCAUUUAUGUAUAUGUGUGUAGGUGAGUGCAUGGCAUGAUGUUUGUGUGUAAGUUAGAGUUGGUUUUUCCUUCCUCCAUGUGGGAUCCAUGGAUCUGAUUCAAUCUGUCAGCGUUCAUGGGCUAUCUCACUGACCCCCACAUUAUUUUCUUUUCCUCUUGAUGCAAGGUCUUACUGUGUAAUUACGUCUGGCCUGCUUGUCUCCCAAGUGCCAGUGUAGCACAUGUGUGCCUGUGCCUGCAGACAUCAGGGGAGGACAUUGGACUCACUGGGACGAUAGCUGGGAGCCACCUGAUGUAGGGCUCGGAAGGGAACUUGUACUCUUUACAAGAGCAGCAAGCACCCAGCCUAGCCAUCUUUCCGGCCCUGUGAGAAUGUUAAGGUCUUUAUGGGACCUUUAAAAGUUUUGACAUUUGGGAGGCAGAGGCAGGCGGGUUUCUGAGUUCGAGGACAGCCUGGUCUACAGAGUAAGGACAGCCAGGGAAACCCUGUCUCUAAAAAAACC